GGACUACAGGGGUUUCUAAUCCUGUUCGCUCCCCACGCUUUCGUACCUCAGUGUCAGGUGUGGCCCAGCAAGCUGCCUUCGCCAUUGGUGUUCCUUCCGAUCUCUACGCAUUUCACUGCUACACCGGAAAUUCCACUUGCCUCUGCCAACCUCAAGAAACCCAGUAUGAGACACAGUCUAGACGGUUGAGCCGCCAGAUUUCGCAUCUCACUUAAAUCUCCACCUACGUACGCUUUACGCCCAGUAAUUCCGGAUAACGCUUGGAUCCUACGUAUUACCGCGGCUGCUGGCAC
rnacentral:rRNA from 1 species